rnacentral:rRNA from 1 species
UACGAAGGGUGCAACCGUUGCUCGGAAUUAUUGGGCGUAAAGCGCACGUAGGCGGCUUUUCAAGUCCCAUGUGAAAUCCCACGGCUUAACCGUGGAAGUGCAUGGGAAACUGGAAAGCUUGAGUACUUAAGAGGAUCGCGGAAUUCCCGGUGUAGAGGUGAAAUUCGUAGAUAUCGGGAGGAACACCAGUGGCGAAGGCGGCGAUCUGGGAAGAUACUGACGCUGAGGUGCGAAAGCGUGGGGAGCAAACAGG